UGGUUGUGAGCCACCAUGUGGUUGCUGGGAAUUGAACUCAGGACCUCUGGAAGAGCAGUCAGUGCUCUUAACCACUGAGCCAUCCCUCAGUUCUUUUUGGCAAAUGCUUUCCUCUGCCUAUAGCUGAAAAUGUUUUAUCUAUGCUUUCUCUAACAGUUUCAAAGCUUCUGGAUUUAGAUUAAGUUUUUUGGACUUGUUGAGUUGGUAAUUUGCACACACACACACACACACACACACAGGGAGAGAGAGAGAGAGAGAGAGAGAGAGAGAGAGAGAGAGAGAGAGAGAGAGAGAGAGAGAGAGAGGACUCCACUUUUGUUUUUCUAUAUACGCAAACAGUUUUCCUAGCAUCAUUUGUAAAGGAGGUUAUUUUACUACAAUUAUGUUUUUAAUAGUGCUAUCAAAAUUAGGUCACUAUAACUGUGAAAAUUUAUUUCCACAUCUCCUAUCCUAUUCCAUUUAUUUACAUAGCUGCUGUUUUUGUUGCUAAGGCUCCAUAGUAUAAUUUGAGAUCAGAUAUUGUGAUACCUCUAGCACCUACCUUCUGCUAAGGGUUGCUUUGGCUUUUCAGGGUGUUGGUUUCAGUUUGAAUUGUAGGGUUUGUCUUCUGGUUCUACGAAAAAUGUUGUUGGCACUUUGAUGGAGACUGCAUUGUCUCUAGACUGGUUAAAGUUCUGUAGCUAUUUUUCCCAAUAUAAACUUGUUGUAAUCCGUAAACACAAGAGGCCAUUCCUUCUUCUAGUGUCUUCUUUGUCCAUCCCAUUUCUUUCUUGGUAAGCUUGUUUGGGAAUAUCAAAGCUACUAACUUCUAACAUAUGCAAGUCUCUCUGUUAAAAAGUGUCAGCAUUGAAGUCCUUUGAGUAAAUAUCCAUAAAUGGUACCGCCUGGUCAUAUGCUAGAUCUAUUUUGUUUUAUUUGUGACAUCUCCAUGUCAGCUUCCAUAGUGACUGACCUAGAUUUCGUUCUCACAGGCACUGUGUGAAGAUUGCUUCUUAUCUCCUUACUCAUUAACUCGUGUCAUUUAUGUUUAUUGACAACUGCGUUCUGACCAGUGGAGGGGCAUGGAAACUCAGUGUGGUUCUGAGUUGUGUAUUCUUGACAGAAAUCUUCUGUCAGAUAUGAGGCUAGCAGCUAGCAGCACUUUCUUCCAUGCUGUACACUGUCUCUUCAUUCAACUGUUUCUUUUUCUGCACAGAAAACUUCAGUUUCAUCAAGUCCUGUUUGUGAAUUGUCAACACUGUUUCCUGAGCAACUAGAGUCCUUCCAGAAGGUUUUUGUCUAUGCCCGAAUUUUCCCGUCUUUUUCCUAAAUUUCCCUUUUAAUAGUUUCAGAGUUUUGGGUCUUACAUUAAGGUCUUUGGUCCACUUGGAUUCGGCAUGUGGAAAGGCUGAGACAUUAUUCAACACGUGGCUGUAUACGUUCCCCCAGGAUCGUUUGCUGGUGAUAUCCUUGUCCACAAGUUUCUGUGAAGAAUGGCAUUGAGGUCUGAUGAAGAUUCCUAUAAAUCUGAAGAUGGCUUUGGUAGGAGGUCCAGUUUCAAAGCAUUGAUUCUUCAAAUCCAUGCGCACAGGGGACAUGUCCACCUUCCAGCAUCCUGAAGUACAACAUCAUAUGUACCACUGUGUCAGAAACCAUCUAGGAAAGACUAAGGCAAGCAAAUGAGUUUUCUGGAAAUGGCCCACCAUUUUGCAUGGUCUGCAAUGGAUGAGCUCUGAGAGGCAAGGUCCCAAGAGACUUCAUCCCAAGAUGACUUUUUGCUGAUGAUAUGCCUUUCUAGUCACUGUUACGUAGACUAAUGAUAUCUGGGCAUUAACUCACCCUAUUGGGCAGAUUUUCUGCAGAGCAAAUAUGAAGAUGUACUUUCAUAUAGCAAUGCUGUGCAAAUCAAUUGAUGAUUUCAUAAUUCUCAAUAAUGAUUUUAUAGAAUUCCUAAAUUUAUACAAGUAAUUUCAAGCCUCCUAUAGAAUAAAGCUGCAAAUGUCAUGGACAUUGUCAACCUUCAGAUGUCAUGGACCAAUUGCUCUAGGGUAAGAAAGCAGGCUUGGAACAAAUUUGUGACCAAGGGAAAACAUUCAUUCUAGGUCAGGUUCAAGGGUGAAGCCACGGGUGUGCACUAUGAUAAAGCUGGGCCAUGGGAAACUGUUGCUUUGCGCUUGUAAUGAGCUUCGAGAAUGAAACACUGCUGUGAAUUCACUGUCAACAUCCUUCUGGAACUCCCCUCUUGUGGAACAUCUUAUCUAUGAGGCUUUGAACCUUAGAUCGGCUGGCAGAUGGAACCUUUGCACGAUGAUUGUCCUCAUUGCUCCAAAUCCAUGGAUCCUAAGGGCAUAGACAGGUAACUCCUGAUAUUUUCUUUGACCCAGAUGUAGGACUCUCAUCCACUUUGUCAGCACCAUGUCUGCCUGCACACGACCGGACCGUGCUUCCCACUAUAACAGUGAUGAACAAAACCUCUGAGAUGUAAGCCUUUCUAAGAGUUGCCAUGGUCCCAGUGUCUGUUCAUAGCGAUAGUAACUGUAACUAUGACAUCAAUUUACCCCUGACAUUGGUAUUUUCA
rnacentral:lncRNA from 1 species